GCAAACUUGGUCAUUUAGAGGAAGUAAAAGUCGUAACAAGGUUUCCGUAGGUGAACCUGCGGAAGGAUCAUUAUCGAAAUCGAAGCCCGAGGAGGGGAAGACCCUCCGAAGGUUUCAAACCUUCUCGACACCCGUGUGCACCUGCUGUAGGUCCUCCGGGAUCUACGUCUCAUCCUUCGAACUCGUAUGUCCAAAGAACGUGCGCGUCGCUCCGGCGACAGUAAACCAUGAUCAUACAACUUUCAGCGAUGGAUCUCUUGGCUCUCGCAUCGAUGAAGAACGCAGC
rnacentral:misc_RNA from 1 species